AUGGACUCAUCUCCGUCGUUCACCUUUCUCCCCCCGCCACCGCCUCCGCCUCCGCCACCGCCACCGCCAGGCCCAAACCCUAACUCUAGAGUCUUUCCGCACUCUCACCACCACAACUCCUCCACCGCUCCUUCUGAUCUCCAUACCACCCUAUCAUCCCUAAAACACCUUAUCAACCUCUCCAAAACCACCAUCCACUCUGUUUCAAAUCUCUUUCCCACCACCGCCUCCACCGCCACCGCCACCGCCACUUGCCCUUACAACUCCAACCACCGCAUCCCUCCAAGCUCCCUAUUCCACCACCACCUCCAAUGUCCUUCGUCUCCUGCACCCGUCGAUCUUGCCCUCUUUGACUCCAUUCACUACCCUAACUCCCUUCAAUCUGCAAGCUCUUUAGUUAAUCAGAAAAGCAAUUGUUUCACCCAAACGCUUCCUAACGAUGCGAACACUGACCUCUGCUUUUCUCUAAAUGAUUACCAUACCUCUCUUGAUUCGAAUUUCUUCUACCGAGAUUGUCCGGCGGUUGUUACAUUUCCACAUGAUAAUAACAAUGCUGGUCGUAUGCUUAUGUUGCCUGUUGUUUUAUCAGCUGAGUGUGCAAAUUUGACUGGCGAGAGUAAUGAUGAUAUGAGCGAUAUCAUUGAUGGUUUAUUUGGUAGUUGUUAUCUUGUUGAACUACUUCCAUCUGAACACUGGAAUGUUAGAACUGAAAUUAAUCAGUGGAAUGAUUAUCCUCAUUUUUAUUCUUAUGGUGUUCUUCGUUCAGUUGUAUGCUCUUACAUGGCUCAAAAGGAGUAUCUACUGGAAUGGCUCUUGGUGAAUUCUCCAUUUUAUGGUGUUGUGAUCGAUGAGUUUAUGAGGGAUCACAUUCUUUUGCUGUUUAGGCUCUGUAUGAAAGCAAUAGCUAGGGAAGCAAUUGGGCAUAUGGUUUCAAUUUCUAGAGGAGAGCCAACAGGGGGUAAAUAUUGUUUCGAGUGUCCUGUUCUGGUUAGAGUAUUGACAUGGUUAGCUUCACAGCUUGCUAUAUUGUAUGGAGAAGCAAAUGGGAAGUUAUUUGCUAUUAACAUGUUAAAGCAUUCCCUACUGAUUGCUUCAUCGAGAUCUUUGUUUCUUUCUGGUGAGGAAAGGGUUAAUGAAUCUCCUGGUUUAGGUGAUGUAUAUGGUAAAGCUGUCCCCCUCAAGGGAAGCAAAGAAAACGAUGGAAGAACAAUGGGGAUGGUUUUUGUUUCCCAGGUAGCAGCAGCUGUUGCUGCAUUGUGUGAACGUUCCUCGAUUGAAACAAGAAUCAAAGCCGUACGGGCUUCACAGUCUGUUCCAGUUUAUCAGAGAGUGCAAGAGCAUCAAUAUAUAUCAAAAAAGGCAGAGGAGGAGCGUAAAAAGCGUACAGAUUAUAGACCUAUAAUUGAACACGAUGGGGUGCUCUGGCAGCGGGGAGGUAACCAGGAUGCAAAUAAAAAUAAAUCACGAGAGGAAUUGUUGGCUGAAGAAAGGGAUUACAAAAGGCGAAGAAUGUCAUAUCGUGGCAAGAAAAUGAAAAGAAGCACAACACAGGUCAUGAGGGGUAUAAUAGACGAAUACAUGGAGGAAAUCAAGCAUGCAAACAUGGUUGGUCAACCUCCUGUAGAUGCCACAAACCUUACGUUGGAGCAUUCUUCCAUGAGCGAUAAGCAAGUAGAUAAUGAGGUGAGGAUAGCUGUUCCUAUCUCAUCUAACGCGAACAAAGUGGUUCCACAAAGUCAUUGGAAAGAAUCAGUUUCUGAUAUCAGUAUGAGAUCUGCAACUUCCGAGGAUGAGAGUAAAGAAAAAAGUAACAAACAACGACAUGUCAGACAGCACCAAGAAUAUUAUACUAUUGAUGAGAGCAGACAUGGGAGAGAAUACAUCUCCAAGAAUGCCGAUGGGCAUAGAAGUUCUAGUCGCUCUCAUGAUCAUGGGCAACGAGAUGAGCAGAAACGCUCCAGAAAAUACUAUCCUUCAAGCCCUGAUAGAGGUCACAGCAGGUCACAUGACCAGGCUAGUCGUCGAAGGGAUCAAGUUCAUGAGAAUAUGGAUUCGAGUGAAAGUUGCCAAAGGAGCAAGCACAAGGACAAGAGGUCAUCCCCCCUUGUACGCAAUGAAUUCGAGGACAGAUAUGAUCCUUCUAAAUCUCAUGGCAUGGAUGAGGAUGAUCUCUACUCUGACAGCUAGUGUGAUAGACCAAUUUGGUUAGACCCUAAACUUCCAUAUGUUGCAUGUAUGAAGUGGGUAUGUAAACAGCAGCUUCAUCUUCUAAGAGGAGUAGGAAGUUAUCCAGGAUUCAGCAGUUUAUCAAAAUCUGUAUCCACCCUUGUAUCCUUUGCUGUUCUAUAUUCGUUGUUAUUGAUGCCCAUUACAAACGUUCUUUGCUUUUGAUUCAUACCCUUAUCUUACUAGAGUAUCUGUUUUUUUUCUUCUACUUCCUAUUUGUUCUACUAACAAAUCGGCUGUCAGAACUAUCAUUCACUUUCUAACAGUAUUCUGAUUAGGUUGGCACAUUCAACUCUAGCUUUUCUGAAUGACAAAGUCUUAUUAAUUGAUAAGAUGUAGGCGACAAGUUUCCCUUUAUAUUAGAGGAACCAUAUUCUGGAAAACUGCAUUAAAAAUCAAUCAUGAGCAGGAAAUUACACUGCUCAAAAUACAGCAGCCAAGCAAAGUGUGUGCGUUUAUAUUUUAUUAUUAAUUUAUCAUGUUUGUAUGUGUGUAGCAAAUCUAGCAACCACCAAGUUUACCAGCAAAUUCAUCACCAUUCCUUUACGUAGAAAAAAAACAUGUCAAUAAUCACACAUUCUCUUUCUGCAGAAUUACCCAGUCCUCCGAAAAUGAAAAAUGGGUGAGUUUGGUGGUAACAUGGUGGUUGUCAACUUGACGUUAUCAAACUUAGAGGUAUUGAAGUAAAUAAUAUUGGAUAUAUGUUGCUUGCAGUUGUAGUCUCUUUUGGUCACAAGGUUUUGAGAAAAAAGAACCUGAUUUUUACACCUUUUAGCACCUAACACCCGUUAUAAGUUACUCGGACUUGGUAUACAUCUUGUGUUUAUAAUGUCUCUCUGUUUCAAUGAUGUUGAAAAGAUUCAAAAGGCAGCAAUUCUCAUAUCUGCUAGCCUAGAAAGUAGUGGUGCUUGUACCAUUUGCUGAAUCCCAUGUAUUGCGUGCGUUUAUUUGGGGGUGGCGUGACCAUAUGCCUAAAUAAUUGACCAUGAAUCAUGGGAAUAGGAUAAUGGGGAUGCACGAGGUGCAUUUUCGCUCUUUUACGAAUAAAGGAGAUGAAGAUUCACAAAAUUAGAAAGAGACUAAAAUGGAAAAAAGGGUUGAAGAAGAUUUCGCUUCAACUGCCAGAAAUAUGGUCACUAUAAUAUACGAUAGCUAGAUAGAUGACUUUACAAACUCUUGAAUGUUUUCUUUCACUGAACCUGUUGGAGUUGGAUGAUUUAGAAGACUUGAUUCAGGCAAUUUAAAGCUUGGUUAGUUCUUCUUUACUGACCUAUCUCGAGCUACUAGUAUUUAUUUGGGAUUGUUGGAGUCUCACAUCGGCUAGACUUGAACCAUUCUCGUCAAUAUAUGUUUGAACCUCUCUUCUUUUCUCAAGGGGUCUUUUGGAGAGCAAUCUGAUGGGUUUCACAUAUUCUGUCUCUAAUCUGCUUGGCA